rnacentral:rRNA from 1 species
CCCUUAGACGUUCUGGGCCGCACGCGCGCUACACUGACCAGUGCAACAAGCAUCCGUCCUUGGCCGACAGGCCCGGGCAAUCUUUGAACGCUGGUCGUGAUGGGGAUAGACUUUUGCAAUUUUUGGUCUUCAACGAGGAAUUCCUAGUAAACGCAAGUCAUCAACUUGCAUUGAUUACGUCCCUGCCCUUUGUACACACCGCCCGUCGCACCUACCGAUUGAAUGGUCCGGUGAAGCCUCCGGAUUGGCGCGCACCUCGGUGCCGCCGAGAAGUUGGCUAAACCUUACCAUUUAGAGGAAGGUGAAGUCGUAACA